rnacentral:sRNA from 1 species
GUCCUCAUGAAACAUGGGGAAAUUUCUGCCUGAAGCAUAAAGUGCACCUUGGUGCAGCGUCUGCAUGGUCAAGCGUGGAUAACUCUUGGUUUCACGAGAGCCUUUUGUCUCCGGGCCUCAUGAUUUUAAUGAUGCUGAAUCCUGCCGUUGUCUGUUACAGCAAAGAGAGCAGGAUGAAUGGACAGUACCAGCAGCCCACGGACAGUCUCAACAAUGACAACAAGUAUUCCCUGUUUGCUGUUGUUAACCAUCAAGGAACCUUGGAGAGUGGCCACUACACCAGCUUUAUCCGGCAGCACAAAGACCAGUGGUUCAAGUGUGACGAUGCCAUCAUCACCAAGGCCAGCAUCAAGGA